AACGAACGCUGGCGGCAUGCCUAACACAUGCGAGUCGAACGAGACCUUCGGGUCUAGUGGCGCACGGGUGCGUAACGCGUGGGAAUCUGCCCUUGGGUUCGGAAUAACAGUUGGAAACGACUGCUAAUACCGGAUGAUGACGUAAGUCCAAAGAUUUAUCGCCCAGGGAUGAGCCCGCGUAGGAUUAGCUAGUUGGUGGGGUAAAGGCCUACCAAGGCGACGAUCCUUAGCUGGUCUGAGAGGAUGAUCAGCCACACUGGGACUGAGACACGGCCCAGACUCCUACGGGAGGCAGCAGUGGGGAAUAGUGGACAAUGGGCGAAAGCCUGAUCCAGCAAUGCCGCGUGAGUGAUGAAGGCCUUAGGGUUGUAAAGCUCUUUUACCCGGGAUGAUAAUGACAGUACCGGGAGAAUAAGCCCCGGCUAACUCCGUG
rnacentral:rRNA from 1 species